AACGCUAGCUACAGGCUUAACACAUGCAAGUCGAGGGGCAGCAUGGUCUUAGCUUGCUAAGGCCGAUGGCGACCGGCGCACGGGUGAGUAACACGUAUCCAACCUGCCGAUGACUCGGGGAUAGCCUUUCGAAAGAAAGAUUAAUACCCGAUGGCAUAGUUCUUCCGCAUGGUAGAACUAUUAAAGAAUUUCGGUCAUCGAUGGGGAUGCGUUCCAUUAGGUUGUUGGCGGGGUAACGGCCCACCAAGCCUUCGAUGGAUAGGGGUUCUGAGAGGAAGGUCCCCCACAUUGGAACUGAGACACGGUCCAAACUCCUACGGGAGGCAGCAGUGAGGAAUAUUGGUCAAUGGGCGAGAGCCUGAACCAGCCAAGUAGCGUGCAGGAUGACGGCCCUAUGGGUUGUAAACUGCUUUUAUACAGGAAUAAAGUUAGCCACGUGUGGUUAUUUGUAGGUACUGUAUGAAUAAGGACCGGCUAAUUCCGUGCCAGCAGCCGCGGUAAUACGGAAGGUCCAGGCGUUAUCCGGAUUUAUUGGGUUUAAAGGGAGCGUARGCCGUCUGUUAAGCGUGUUGUGAAAUGUAGAUGCUCAACAUCUGAAUUGCAGCGCGAACUGGCAGGCUUGAGUGUGCGCAACGUAGGCGGAAUUCGUGGUGUAGCGGUGAAAUGCUUAGAUAUCACGAAGAACUCCGAUUG
rnacentral:rRNA from 1 species